AAGUCGUAACAAGGUUUCCGUAGGUGAACCUGCGGAAGGAUCAUUAACACGUAUCCACGUAUCAACCCCUUUGUGCUUUUCCGUUUCUUAUAACCCUGUCUUGAACCGCUGAUCCUGAGGCUUCACCGCAUAGAACGUUGAAUGGUUUUGGGCGAAAGCUCAAAGUUCUUGGUGUCGCUGUUGCACUCCGGUGCAUCGGAUUGGUUGGCUCUACCGUACAGGUUACAAAUGUUAACCAUUCGGCAUUGCCCCAUUAAUACUAAAACCCCUUUAAAAAUCUUGCUAACUUAAUUUGAUUUUUGUUUUUGUCUUCGGACGAAACGAAUUCAAUAUUACGAAAUGCUUGACAACUCUUAGCAACGGAUAUCUUGGUUCUC
rnacentral:misc_RNA from 1 species